UUCUGAUUGGAUGAUGACUUCCAUGUGUCAUGUUCUGAUUGGAUGUCAACUCUAUGGACGAUGAAAUGCAUUGCUGUUGUCAUUGGCCAAUCAGAACAUGACACAUGGCAAUCAUAGUCC
rfam:Glycine soja cultivar W05 scaffold2330_4, whole genome shotgun sequence.